CAGUAAAAUUCUGGUCUAAGAAAAAUGUUUUCUGGUGUUAUGUCUAAUUCUACUAUUCUUGAUAAUUUAUUUUCUCAAUAAAAUGCUUCAUAAGGACAGGAACAGAAGAAAAAUGACCAGUUUUCUGCAGGAGUGUUGCAGUGGGACUACAAAAAGCACCAAUUACUCUCAUCAAGGAGACAGCAAGCAAUCUCAUUCAAGUAUUUGCUAGAAAGCUACAGAAGAAACGGCUGACUGCACAGGAAUAUGCAUUUGACCAGAAGUACCUGUGGAAGGAGUGAGAAGAAUUUUUGGAAUAUGCACUGGAAGGCAGAAAAAGAUGAAGAGACAUAAAAAGACAACAGUAUAUGCACCACUGUACAUCCCUGUCAUGCAAACAUGCAAAAAUAUGAAGAAACCACAUGAGCUUCUGAGGAUCCAAAUAACCAUGCCUCCUAAAUAAACAUACAAGGAUUUUCUAGGGAUCACUGCUUCAGUAUGGCUGGUUUAUAAAGAUGAAAUACAUUGAGAAAUAUUAAGAAGUUCUCAGGCUACUAAGGUAAUACCUCCAAAUGCCAAUCCCUUAAUAUCAUAAGGACAAAAGCAUUUGCUAUCUAUUUUGCACCAAAGUUCUGUAGGUGGAACGAGUUCAGCUGAAUUUCGAAUGGAAAAAGCCCAGCAUGAACAGAACUUAGUAGGUUAAGCUGACCAUGCUCUUAAAAUAUACUUCAAAACAUGUUGGUCUUCUUCGUACCUAUUCUUCAUUAAAAACAUGGCCAAAUGUCUACAGUCUCACUUUUAAACGUACUUCCAGGAAGGGUCAGGAAGGAUAUCCUCUCAGGUUAAUAAUGUCACAUGAAAAGUUCUGCUAAAUAAAGAUUACUUUCCUAGCCCCCAAAAUUCUGUCUCUAACAUGAAACGAGUAUGUGUUAGACUCAGUCUUG